CGAAACAGCUCUUCACUUCCUAGAAUUUCAAUCAGUUCUCUCUUGGUUGCAAUGUGGUGCGAUUUUAGGGGGUUUCGGAUGGGAUUCGCUCUCGCUUCUCCAGGCUUCACAUGGUUGUGCUUGGUCCAUUUUGACUAGGAUUCGUCAUUUGUUCCCGUCUCUGCUGCUUUUCUUAUGGGGUAUGUCUGUGUCACUUUUCUUAUUGGGUAUGGGUAAGCUGGGUUGGGUUCGACUUGAGUUUCUCAUGGUCUUCUCAGCUUCCUUUAUAUUAGCCAGCGUUUUGGGGAUAAGGGGUUACCAAAUUUGUUGUGGCUGUAGACUUAGAAAAGAUAGCUCGUGGUGAUGAUGGUGCAUUAAAUUCCUUGCCACCUUGGCUGGGUCCUUGCUCCUUCAACAACAUUGGAAGAGCUACUACAAAUUAGCUUAGCUUGGUGAGUGAAAACAUUCAUUUGGAGCUUUACAAGUUUCAUUCCAUCUCGGUAUCACUCCUGGUAACAUGCACACAAUCACCUUCAAACAAAGUUGCUUAAAGGUUAUUUUUGGAUCUGUCAAGUUGACUGGAUCAGAACAAGACAACUCUUAUACGAUUUAGUUUUAAAACAGUGAUAUAUAAGAAGUCAAGUCGAGAGAUUUUAAAUUUGAUCCAUUGAGUGUGCUUUAAGAACAAUACCAAAUAAUUAUCUAUAACUUAGAUAUGUUUUAUUACGUUCAACUUUUUUUGAAUCUGACUUAUAGCACGACCUAUAAUUAGUGACAACUAAAAUAUAUUUUUAAUUAACUUAAAAAAUUAAAAAAAAUCAAUUUAUAUAAUAUAUAUUUAAUUAUUUAAUUUUCAAUAAAAUAAACUUAAAAUUAAAAAAAAUAAAGGAAAAAAAUAUUGUGCGCGGGCUUAGAGGCCCAACAUGCUUGGCCCAUUAAAAUUCAAGCCCGACAUAGAACCAUGCUAAGAAAGGACCGGGCUUGGGCCAUAUAUAUAUAUAUAUAUAUAUAUUUUAUUAUUUGAUCCUUUUUUUUUUUUAA